GAACAACUGGAAAAAAUGCGUGCACAACUACAGAAACAGAAAGAACAAGAAACGGAAAAAGAAAAACAAGCAGCAACGCAGACAAUCGGAGUUGUUGUCAUGGUCGUUUUAUU
rnacentral:ribozyme from 15 species